GAGAGGAGCCAAAGACCUGCUAACUCUUUAAUCUGACAAAUUAUGCCAGCCCUCUCU
rnacentral:tRNA from 1 species